AGAGUUUGAUCCUGGCUCAGAACGAACGCUGGCGGCAGGCUUAACACAUGCAAGUCGAACGCGUGUAGCAAUACACGAGUGGCGCACGGGUGAGUAACGCGUGGAUAUCUGCCUUUUGGUUCGGAAUAACCCCGGGAAACUGGGGCUAAUACCGGAUGGUUCCUUCGGGAUAAAGAUUUAUCGCCAAAAGAUGAGUCCGCGUACGAUUAGCUAGUUGGUGAGGUAAUGGCUCACCAAGGCGACGAUCGUUAGCUGGUCUGAGAGGACGAUCAGCCACACUGGGACUGAGACACGGCCCAGACUCCUACGGGAGGCAGCAGUGGGGAAUAUUGGACAAUGGGGGCAACCCUGAUCCAGCCAUGCCGCGUGAGUGAUGAAGGCCUUCGGGUUGUAAAGCUCUUUUGGCGGGGACGAUGAUGACGGUACCCGCAGAAUAAGCCCCGGCUAACUUCGUGCCAGCAGCCGCGGUA
rnacentral:rRNA from 1 species